rnacentral:rRNA from 1 species
AGCAGCCGCGGUAAUUCCAGCUCCAAUAGCGUAUAUUAAAGUUGUUGCAGUUAAAAAGCUCGUAGUUGAAUUUCGGGAUUGACACAUCGGUCGUGCCUUAAGGGGUAUGAACUGGUGUAGUCAAUUUCUCACCUUCUGGAGAACCGCGAUGCCCUUAAUUGGGUGUCGCGGGGAACCAGGACCUUUACUUUGAAAAAUUAGAGUGUUUAAAGCAGGCAUUUUGCUUGGAUACAUUAGCAUGGAAUAAUAAAAUAGGACGGCAUGAUUCUAUUUUGUUGGUUUCUAGGAUCACCGUAAUGAUUAAUAGGGAUAGUUGGGGGCAUUAGUAUUCAAUUGUCAGAGGUGAAAUUCUUGGAUUUAUUGAAGACUAACUACUGCGAAAGCAUUUGCCAAGGAUGUUUUCAUUAAUCAAGAACGAAAGUUAGGGGAUCGAAGACGAUCAGAUACCGUCGUAGUCUUAACCAUAAACUAUGCCGACUAGGAAUCAGACGAUGUUAAUUU